CCAGUGCUUCAGGGCCCCUGCUGGUAAGAGGUCACUGUGGAGGAGAGGUAGGUAGGAGCUCCCACAGGAAAGCCAUCCUUUCAGGCAGUACCUCAGUCUGUACCUUUGCCUUUGGCUUUUUUACUUUGCGGAGAAUGUGUGCAGCCUCAGAGGGCUGGAGCCACCUGCCAAUUAGGUUUGAUGGUCUUCAUCUGUCCUUGUGAGUAAUCUCCUAGUACUACGAGGGUCAUCAAUUAAGGCUCGACCUUUCCCAGUUGCAGGUGCCAUCCAGCCUGCCUUUGGCCAAGGAGGAGCAUUGAGGUUGAGCUGGGGAGGUAGGGAGGAGGUGCUGGGGUCUCCCUUACUUUCAGAAACACCCAUAACUUUUUUUCUCACUCCCCCAGGUACGGCACACGGUGAUGGCAGCAGCCUCCAACUGGGGUCGGAGCCAGUGGCCCGAGAACCUCUCAGCUCAGGGGAGGGUGAGUAGCCAAUUGCGGGGUUAUCUCCCACGUGCUGCCCAACUCUUGUGUCAGUUUCUGUUUUCUUUCUCACAGCAACCGAGUCAGGGAUCACAGGACCCUCUGAGCCAGCUGUGCGUCCUUCCUUCACAUCGAAGAUGGAUUCACAUCCCCAGCUGUGGGAAAGAUAAGUGGAGGACUCCCACCUGGAGAGGGGAUGAGAGCUGGGUCCAGUUUUAUGGUUAGGAGGGAGGGAUUUUCAAUUGAGCAGAGGGGAAAGGAUCUACCCUAAGAGGCCCUUGGCACACAUAGGAGGAGCAGUUUACUUUUCAUCAUGGAGUAGGAUGUGCAGGGCAGAGCCGUUCAGGUCUGUGUCAUGUCCUUUGUCCGGUCUGUGUUUCGUGUCUUACACUUUACAGUCACUGUGUCUUUGCUUCCUGCCCUCAAAGGUCUUAUCUGAGAUGUCAAAGCAUCAUUCCUAGAGUCUUGAACCUCUGCACUGCCCAGCCCAGUGCCCAUACCAUCCGUUCUUUGGCUCACUAGCUUGGACAUGCAUCGGAAUCACAUCUGAGAAGUGUCAGGUCAGGUGUCUUUUACAGCCUCCUUACAGGUUGUAUCGGUGGCUGUGCCGUGCAGUCAUCCCUUGUCAUCCCACCUAGGACUUGUGAGAAUCUAAGAAGAUUCUGAACAUAGCAUUGUCUCCCAUCCAUCUUAGCAAUUUUGUAGGCAGUUCUUGUCCCAGGCCAUUCUGUUAGAGUGUGUUUUCAGGCUCCUCAGAGCCUCCUCCGUUCAGUCUCGCCGUAUCCUCCGUCUUCUCGUGCGGUAGCACAUCGAUUUUGGCGUCGUUCCUUUCUCAGAGUUCUCUCUCCUGGUUGCACCACAGCACUUGUCUGGAAAUGUGUCCUUGGAGUUUGUGUUGGGCCUGGAACUGCUCUGCCCUGCAGUGUAGACUUGGGGCAUCAGAGAGGCUGGAUGUAAAGCAGAGAUGAACAGAGGAGGCUGGAGGAGCACAGUCAGAAGAUGCAGAGCCCUCAGCCCAGCAGAGGACAGGCACCAGAGGGAAGGUGAGCCCGGUGAGCAAGG